AGUGAACGCUAGCGGUAGGCCUAACACAUGCAAGUCGAACGGCAGCACAGUAAGAGCUUGCUCUUACGGGUGGCGAGUGGCGGACGGGUGAGGAAUACAUCGGAAUCUACUUUUUCGUGGGGGAUAACGUAGGGAAACUUACGCUAAUACCGCAUACGACCUACGGGUGAAAGCAGGGGAUCUUCGGACCUUGCGCGAUUGAAUGAGCCGAUGUCGGAUUAGCUAGUUGGCGGGGUAAAGGCCCACCAAGGCGACGAUCCGUAGCUGGUCUGAGAGGAUGAUCAGCCACACUGGAACUGAGACACGGUCCAGACUCCUACGGGAGGCGGCAGUGGGGAAUAUUGGACAAUGGGCGCAAGCCUGAUCCAGCCAUACCGCGUGGGUGAAGAAGGCCUUCGGGUUGUAAAGCCCUUUUGUUGGGAAAGAAAAGCAGCAGGUUAAUACCCCGCUGUUCUGACGGUACCCAAAGAAUAAGCACCGGCUAACUUCGUG
rnacentral:rRNA from 1 species